AAUAGGGGAAAAUAGUAAGAAAAUAGGAAAAAAAUAGUAAGGAAAAAGGGGGGGGGGAUCACUCAUCCUUUACUUUCAUGGAUUUCUCAAGCACUACCAUCUCACACAUCCAGUCAACGACUCUGUACAUUCAACUAAAUCAUACAGUGCAAACUUGAUAUAAAGAGAUCAGUUAUACCUGAAAUGACAAGGUAAUUUACCAGCUUUUGGGGGUUAAGAUUUCUUGGUUGCACAUGACCUCAUUGUCGAAAGUUUCCACUGUAGAAUAGUCACCCUACUCCUACAGCUCUUUUCUCUGCAUCGAUGCACCUACUCAGUUUGCCAAAUUCACUUCAUCCUUUCAGUCCAAUCCAUUCAGUAGAACAUUUAAAAUAGUCAAUGGGUAUAUGGAAAAUGUUAUACAGUCCACUCCUAUUAUAACAAACAUGAGUACACCAAGAUUUUAUUAUCAGGCAAUUCUCAUCAGUCCCAAUUUUAAAUAAACCAAUGUGUUCAGUAACUUGAGUAUAACAUGAUUUCAUUUUAACAAGGAAAUUGGCUUGGUCCCGAGCACCUCGUUACAAUGGCAGUGGACUGUAACACACAAAAAGAAUAAAAGGGAAUGUGUCAAAUAAAAUACAUGUACUUUAUUUUCGAGAGGUGAACACAAUGACAUGAGUUUAGUAUAGUAUGUGUGUUCAUAUAAGCAAAUAAAUAAAAGAACUUAACUGAUAUUUACAAUCUUUGGUUAAGUACUGUAGUGUACAUGUUGUAGUAAUAGAGUUGUUCAUGGUUUGCUAUGAUUAUACACUAAAAAAAAAA